rnacentral:rRNA from 1 species
CCUACGGGGGGCAGCAGUAAGGAAUAUUGGUCAAUGGACGCAAGUCUGAACCAGCCAUGCCGCGUGGAGGAUGAAGGUCCUCUGGAUUGUAAACUUCUUUUAUUUGGGAAGAAACUCCCGAUUUCCAUCGGGAUUGACGGUACCAGAUGAAUAAGCACCGGCUAACUCCGUGCCAGCAGCCGCGCUAAUACGGAGGGUGCAAGCGUUAUCGGGAUUCACUGGGGCGAAGGGGUGCGGGUAAGGCAAGGGAGAAAGCUCCGAGCUUAACCCGGAAACUGCCAUUGAUACUAUUUGUCUUGAAUACUCUGGAGGUGAGCGGAAUAUGUCAUGUAGCGGUGAAAUGCUUAGAUAUGACAUAGAACACCCAUUGCGAAGGCAGCUCACUACGGAAAUAUUGACGCUGAGGCACGAAAGCGUGGGGAUCAAACAGGAUUAGAUACCCGUGUAGUC